AUCAUUCAGAAGGUAGGGAGCCUCGCUUACAAACUGCAAUUCCCAGAGCAUGUGAAGAUUCACCUAGUUCUUCAUGUCAAUCAACAUAAAAAGUAUUUUGGCUCUCGGGCUAUACCAUCUCCACAUUUACCCACUGUUAAUGAGGAUGGUACUCUUAAGACGGCCCCGGGUGCGGUGUUGGAAGGUUGUCAAAUUCCUCAGCACAACCAAGAAGUAGUCCAAUGGGCAGUACAGUGGCAAAUUUUGUCUCCGAAAGAUGCUACAUAG
rnacentral:rRNA from 1 species